rnacentral:rRNA from 1 species
AUUGAACGCUGGCGGCAGGCCUAACACAUGCAAGUCGGACGGUAGCACAGGGGAGCUUGCUCCUCGGGUGACGAGUGGCGGACGGGUGAGUAAUGUCUGGGGAUCUGCCCGAUAGAGGGGGAUAACCACUGGAAACGGUGGCUAAUACCGCAUAACGUCGCAAGACCAAAGAGGGGGACCUUCGGGCCUCUCACUAUCGGAUGAACCCAGAUGGGAUUAGCUAGUAGGCGGGGUAACGGCCCACCUAGGCGACGAUCCCUAGCUGGUCUGAGAGGAUGACCAGCCACACUGGAACUGAGACACGGUCCAGACUUCUACGGGAGGCAGCAGUGGGGAAUAUUGCACAAUGGGCGCAAGCCUGAUGCAGCCAUGCCGCGUGUAUGAAGAAGGCCUUCGGGUUGUAAAGUACUUUCAGCGGGGAGGAAGGCGAUGUGGUUAAUAACCGCGUCGAUUGACGUUACCCGCAGAAGAAGCACCGGCUAACUCCGUGCCAGCCGCCGCUGUAA